UACGUAGGGACCGAGCGUUGUCCGGAAUCAUUGGGCGUAAAGAGCUCGUAGGCGGCUCACUAAGUCGGAUGUGAAAACUCGGGGCUCAACCCCGAGACGCCAUCCGAUACUGGUGUGGCUUGAAUCUGGUAGGGGAGAUCGGAAUUCCUGGUGUAGCGGUGGAAUGCGCAGAUAUCAGGAGGAACACCAAUAGCGAAGGCAGCUCGCUGGGACGUUACUGACACUGAGGCGCGAAAGCGUGGGGAGCGAACAGG
rnacentral:rRNA from 1 species